AGAGUUUGAUCAUGGCUCAGGAUGAACGCUAGCGGGAGGCUUAACACAUGCAAGUCGAGCGGUAUUGACCUUCGGGUCGAGAGAGCGGCGGACGGGUGCGUAACGCGUAUGCAACCUGCCUUAUGCAGGGGAAUAGCCCGGGGAAACCCGGAUUAAUACUCCAUAGAUCAGUAGUAUCGCAUGGUACAAUUGGUAAAGAUUUAUCGGCAUAAGAUGGGCAUGCGUCUGAUUAGCUAGUUGGUAGGGUAACGGCCUACCAAGGCGACGAUCAGUAGGGGUUCUGAGAGGAUUAACCCCACACUGGUACUGAGACACGGACCAGACUCCUACGGGAGGCAGCAGUGAGGAAUAUUGGUCAAUGGGCGCAAGCCUGAACCAGCCAUCCCGCGUGAAGGAUGAAUGCCUUAUGGGUUGUAAACUUCUUUUGUACCUGAAGAAACUCUGGGUCGAGACCUGGACUGCCGGUAGGGUACGAAUAAGCAUCGGCUAACUCCGUGCCAGCAGCCGCGGUAAUACGGAGGAUGCAAGCGUUAUCCGGAUUUAUUGGGUUUAAAGGGUGCGCAGGUGGUUAAAUAAGUCAGUGGUGAAAGUCUGCCGCUUAACGGUAGGAUUGCCAUUGAUACUGUUUAACUUGAGUUUAGGUGAGGUAGGCGGAAUGUGUAGUGUAGCGGUGAAAUGCAUAGAUAUUACACAGAACACCGAUUGCGAAGGCAGCUUACUAAUCUACCACUGACACUGAGGCACGAAAGCGUGGGGAUCAAACAGGAUUAGCUACCCUGGUAGUCCACGCUGUAAACGAUGAUCACUCGCUGUUUGCGAUAUACAGUAAGCGGCUAAGCGAAAGCGAUAAGUGAUCCACCUGGGGAGUACGAUCGCAAGGUUGAAACUCAAAGGAAUUGACGG
rnacentral:rRNA from 1 species